rnacentral:tRNA from 1 species
UAGCUCAGUGGUAGAGCUCCUGCCUGAUAUGCAUGAAGUCCUAGGUUCAAUCCCAG